rnacentral:rRNA from 1 species
UGCCGGCGACCGGCGACGGGUGCGUAACGCGUAUGUAACCGUACCUUUGACAGGGGGAUAACAUCGAGAAAUUGGUACUAAUACCCCAUAACAUCACCGGAGGCAUCUUCGGUGGUUGAAAACUCAGGUGGUCAGAGAUGGACAUGCGUUGUAUUAGCUAGUUGGUGAGGUAACGGCUCACCAAGGCGACGAUACAUAGGGGGACUGAGAGGUCAACCCCCCACAUUGGUACUGAGACACGGACCAAACUCCUACGGGAGGCAGCAG